rnacentral:rRNA from 1 species
AGCUAGUUGGUGAGGUAACGGCCCACCAAGGCGACGAUCGGUAGCCGGACUGAGAGGUUGAACGGCCACAUUGGGACUGAGACACGGCCCAGACUCCUACGGGAGGCAGCAGUGGGGAAUAUUGCACAAUGGGGGAAACCCUGAUGCAGCGACGCCGCGUGGAGGAAGAAGGUCUUCGGAUUGUAAACUCCUGUUGUUGAGGAAGAUAAUGACGGUACUCAACAAGGAAGUGACGGCUAACUACGUGCCAGCAGCCGCGGUAAAACGUAGGUCACAAGCGUUGUCCGGAAUUACUGGGUGUAAAGGGAGCGCAGGCGGGAAGACAAGUUGGAAGUGAAAUCCAUGGGCUUAACCCAUGAACUGCUUUCAAAACUGUUUUUCUUGAGUAGUGCAGAGGUAGGCGGAAUUCCCGGUGUAGCGGUGGAAUGCGUAGAUAUCGGGAGGAACACCAGUGGCGAAGGCGGCCUACUGGGCACCAACUGACGCUGAGGCUCGAAAGUGUGGGUAGCAAACAGGAUUAGAUACCCUGGUAGUCCACACCGUAAACGAUGAUUACUAGGUGUUGGAGGAUUGACCCCUUCAGUGCCGCAGUUAACACAAUAAGUAAUCCACCUGGGGAGUACGACCGCAAGGUUGAAACUCAAAGGAAUUGACGGGGGCCCGCACAAGCAGUGGAGUAUGUGGUUUAAUUCGACGCAACGCGAAGAACCUUACCAAGUCUUGACAUCCUGUGACAGACGUAGAAAUACGUUCUUCCUUCGGGACACAGAGACAGGUGGUGCAUGGUUGUCGUCAGCUCGUGUCGUGAGAUGUUGGGUUAAGUCCCGCAACGAGCGCAACCCUUAUGGUCAGUUACUACGCAAGAGGACUCUGGCCAGACUGCCGUUGACAAAACGGAGGAAGGUGGGGAUGACGUCAAAUCAUCAUGCCCUUUAUGACUUGGGCUACACACGUACUACAAUGGCGUUAAACAAAGAGAAGCAAGACCGCGAGGUGGAGCAAAACUCAGAAACAACGUCCCAGUUCGGACUGCAGGCUGCAACUCGCCUGCACGAAGUCGGAAUUGCUAGUAAUCGUGGAUCAGCAUGCCACGGUGAAUACGUUCCCGGGCCUUGUACACACCGCCCGUCACACCAUGAGAGCCGGGGGGACCCGAAGUCGGUAGUCUAACCGCAAGGAGGACGCCGCCGAAGGUAAAACUGGUGAUUGGGGUGAAGUCGAACAAGGUAGCCGUAGGAGAACCUGCGGCUG